UUACGGUCAUAUCCCGUUGAAACACCGAUUCCCGUCAGGUCAGCGAAGUUAAGCAACGUCGAGCCUGGUCAGUACCUAGAUGGGUGACCGCUUGUUAAUACCAGAUGCUGCAAG
rnacentral:rRNA from 1 species